AUGUGUAGUUGGUCUGUGAUUGGAACUGUUCGCGUUUCACCCAGCAUUAAGCAGUAUCCUUUUAUUCACUAGAUGCAGAAACAACAAGGAAUGAAGAUAAAGGAGUGGAGAGAUUGAAGUUCAUUUUGAUGCUACCGAAAAAACAAGUCGUCUCCUAUGGUGUUUUAACUGUUAACUUUUCAUCUUGGACGCUUUUGUAUUAACUAAUUAAGGUAAGCAUACAUGCAAUUAAUUAAGGUGAGCAUACAUGCUAUAUUGUGUAUGUGCUAUAUUUAUUUGAUAUUAACAGAGAAUAAGGUUCAGCAUUACUUUGACAAUGUAUUAUGCACGUUAUUUACUAGGAAGGUUAAAUUAAUUUCACAAAGAUUUCAUUGUAGAACAUUAGAAGACCUCCAGAUGCCAUUAAAUUAGGGAGCAUUGUGUCAAUUCUCAAUUGCUCCAGAAAGUAGCUAUACGUUUGGCCCUAAAACAAGCAUGAAAAUGCCAUUUUUUCAUUAGGAACAGAGACAGUGUGCUGUUACUGAAGAAAUGAUUUACGACAAUAAACUGAUAGGUCACAGUAUCAAUUAAAAAUAUUAAAUAAGGUCCCAGAAAAUUCCUUAGACAUUUGUAAUUUGCUCUAAUAGACAUUUUUUAAACAAUAUUUCAGAAAUAGCAGAUGCUAAACAGCAGGAUUAAUGUGGAACUGAUCUUUUCAUCAGUACGAACAUUUCUGAUUAACUUUAAAAGUGGUAAUUAAUUACUUUUUCUUGCCUCUUUUUAUAGAUUAUUCAACAAAUGAGAAGGAAUCGCAAUUGAUUUUGGUGCUACUAAAACAACCCAUUUUGAUGUCUUCACCUUGCAAUAUUGUGCAGUUAAUUUUGUUCCUGAGAAUAGGAGGCAAUUGGAAAUUAAUUUGGAAGCCACUGAAACAACAAAUUUGCGCUGUGGCAUCCCUCCUAUAUUUGGUUUACUCAUCAUACUGGUAGAUUUUAGAACGGUACUUUCUACAGUUAAUUAAGGUGAGAAUACAUGACAUAAUUUAUUAAUUUGUAAUGGCAUUUCUUUUAACAGUUAUCUAUUAUGUACGGUAUAAAUUGAUGUUAUGUCGUAUGUAUAGUAUUUCUUUUAGAUAUCUAUUGACCACAGAAUCUAUGGUAUUUCGUUGAAAGUUUAUCUACUGUUUACUGUUCAAGUCGUGCAUCUGUGGAAUGUUCAUAAUUUUUUGUUGUGUAUUGACAUCACCCCUCUAUGAUUAUUUCACAUUUAUCUGUCAAACGUAAUAUGUCAUGUAUAGUUGAGGCUUGUCGCCAUCUUAUAUUUCAGCUGCUUUACUUGGUUUUUGGUACUUGCUUUUAGAUCGUCCAACAAAUGAGAGAGCGUUUACGUUCGAUUUGGUCGUACUGGAACAACCAAUGCCUACAUGGGUGUGGUCUUUUGUAAAUCAUAUUCUUGAUUUGCUGUUUUCGCCUUCACUUUGCAACAUUAUGCAGUUAAUUUUCAACCGACGAGUAAGAGCAACUGGAGGUUUUUUUGAAUUCCACUGAAAUAACAAAUUUUCUGCGGUAAUAUUCCUCUUGGAUUUGGUUUACUUUUCACACCUGCA